GGUGUGUGUGUGUCGUCAUGGAAAACCGUGAGCCAUCCAGGCGGCAGCUCGGCUUGGGAACUCGGGACAGAGUUUCAAACAGCGGAUUUGGGUGGAUUUUCAUCAAGAGACCCAGGGCCAUGGAAAAUUACACUGAGCACGUGCUGGCUGCCAGCUUCUUCCAUCAGAAAAUAAGGAUGGCAGACUGCGUCCAUACAUAAACUACAGUCGUCUACUUUAGAGCAGAUAAAGCAGAAACCGAAAGAAAAAGGCAUGUUGGAGAACACCACAGUGACCUGGAGGGUGCAGCCAGAUGGAAACAUCUUCCAGAAGAUAAACAAUCUUUCUCAAAAUAAAACAUCUUCCAGAAGAAAAACGAAGAUGAUCUGUAAUGUAAAGUAGAUUGCAAACAGAAAUUUUGUUCACAGCAUGACUUUUAACAACUUUUAAUCAGUAGGAGGAUUAUAGGAGGAUUAGAUUCAUGAUUAAUAUCCAGCUUUUCCUGCAAUUGGCCACCUGACAUGUUAAAACAUGUUAAAAUACUCUAUAACUGGGUUUAAUGUAUCAGUGUGUCAUAGCAGAAUAUUCUUCAUAUAGAAUAUAGAACCUGUUAAUAAACUC